AGUCUCCUUACAAUCCGAGGUCUUUCGUGGGAUGCGGGCGGCGGCGUCCGGCUUCCCGGGCCGAGUGUCGCGCUGAGAAAGCUUGGCUUCACCCACCCGGUUGCGCCUCCCAGCUCACUGCAUUAAGCCCCUUGUGUGUGUGUGUGUGGGGGGGGGGGGGCGCUCAGAGGCGUUAGGAAAACACCACUGAUCAUUCACCGUGGCCUGAGCUUUUAGCGGGCGCUUGCAGUGUGUCGCGUUCAGUACCUCAUCACUGCGCGGAGUCCUCCCAACGAGUCCAUGAGAUAAGGAAGGCGUGAUACCCAUUUGCAGAUUCCAUCCCGAGGGUCGUGGGGUUUAAUUUAUCCCGGUCACACAACAGGAAAACUACAAUCAGAAUUGGAGUCUGUGUGACUCCAGGGACCCCAGUGACGGGACAAUAUCAAAACUUGAUUAUCAAGUUAAAAUAACGCGACCCCACUGAGGAGCAGAGAGAAAGAAGCUGGAAGAAGUGAUGAUGGAUGUCCAGGGCCUGAGGGAAGCAUCAUAUGCAACUGGCCAAUCGUUCAGCAGAGAUGACUUUGCAUGCAUCCGAAUAUCCUCAGCAGUUAGGAGAGAGAAGCUGGGAGAUGGACAGAGAGAGAGAGAGAAUCUUAAGCAGGUACUAUGCUUAUGGGCUGGAUCGCACGACCCUGGGAUCAUGACCUAAGCCCAAAUCAAGAGUCAGCCACUCAACCGACUGAGUCACCCAGUUGCCCUGAAGGUUUUAUUUUUAAGUAAUCUCUACACCCACUGUGGGGCUUGAACUCAUAACCCUGAGAGCAAGAGUCGCAUGCUUCUGACUGAGCCAACCAAGCACUCUUAGGGUUGAUUUCUGAUCGCAUUCUCUGAGUCCUACUUCAUAGAGCUUACACCUUGGUUAUACACUAGUUUGCAUUCUUUCAGUGACUAGUGAUGUUGAACUUGUUCUCCUGUCUUUGGUCUCGUAUAUUUUUGUUUACCACUUUCCUG